rnacentral:rRNA from 1 species
CCGCGGUGAAUACGUUCUCAAGUCUUGUACUCACCGCCCGUCAACUCAAGGGAGCCGGGAAUACCCGAAGCCCACCUUAGGGUGGAUCACGGUAAGUUCGGUGACAGGGAGU